AUGCCCGGCUGGGCUGGGGGAGUCGCCAAGUUUGCGAGACGCGCGCAGCGCAACGGUGCGUCGGGCGCGGGGACGGCCCGUGACCCGGGCACCCGCGCGCCCCCGAGGAACCUGCGCGUGGGCAGGGCCCGGUGCGCGGCCCGGGAAGGGACUGGGUGCCCUCGCCGGGGUCGCCGCUCCCGUGGGAUGGUUUCCAGGCUGCUCCGCGCCCGCGGGGCAAGGGCGCAGCCGGGACCAGGGAGACCCCCGCGCCGCGCCGCCCCAGCCCCCCGCCAGCCCAGGAGGGGGCCUCCCACAAUGCCCAGCGAGCUCCAGCCCGCACUUCCGCUGUCCGGCCGCCCGCGGGGGGGAGAACGGACCCCCGGCGCGGCCCCUGCGACCCCGCGGCGCGGCGCCCGGGGCCGAGCGAGAGGGCGGGGCCGGCAGCCGGGCCGGCGUGGGCGGGGCCCGGCGGUGGCCGCGGCCGGGAGGCGCGGGCCAAUCAGCGGCGGCCGGGCGCGCCGGGGCGGGUCAGGGUCCGCGGGCGCGGGCGCGCGCGGCGCGCGGGCGGCGGGGCCGCGGGUUGGAGCGGGCGUAAAAGCGCCGGGCUCCGAAUGGACCGACGACGGACGGACCGGACGGACCGCAGGCCCCGGCGAGCGCGCAGCUCGGACCCGCCCGCAGCGCCCGCCCUGGCGGCGGUGGCGUGGCGAUCACCGGUGCCGGCCUGGUGGCCGCGGCGCUGCCCUCGCCCGCGCCCCAUGGGGUCACAGGCAAGCGGUGCCGGCUCAUUGUCCGCGCGGCCGGGGGGCGCAUCGCGGCGGGGCCGGGCGGGAGCCGGGAGCAGGAGCCGGGUUGCCAGUGAGCCUGGCACGCGCCUCGCCGCCGGCCGCCCCGCCACGCCCCGGCCACCCGCGGGGCCUCCCGGGGCCAUCGGCGCCCGGCCGCGGCGCGGGCUCCGGGGGCGGCGGCGGGAGACCCUGGCCCGGCCUCGCUGCGGGUGCCCCCAGGCUGGCGGCGCGGGCGGGCGCGGGGCAGGCGGGUUCCCUCGCGGGCUGCGCGCGGGAGGCGGCGGCUGCCUCCCUCGGCCCCGGCACCCUCCUCCCUGCCGCCGCGCUCCCUCCCCGGCACCUCGGAGAGGGGAUUUUUCCAGCUGGUAAUUUCUGCUGCGUCAACGCCUGGCCCCGAGGCAGCCCGGGGGCGUCCUGGCGCCCCCCGCCCGCGCCCCCAGCCGGCGCAGCCCAGCCGCACCCGGAGCCGCCCGCGCCGAGUUUGCCAAGAGUCGGAACUGCGGGAGGUGGGCGCGGGCGGGUCCCGGCGUCCUGGGGCCGGGGGUCAUUGUCUCCCCGGACGCCGGGCGCCGGCCUGGUCUCCAUGUUAAUCGCCGGCCGAACCGGGGCGCAGGGGCCUCGGGGCGGGGCGGCGAGGGGCGCGGAGGGCGCGGGGCGCGUGGGGCGGACGGGGCGCGCGGAGGGAGCGGGGUCCGCAGCGAGCCGCGUCUUUGUUUCUCUGUAA
rnacentral:lncRNA from 1 species